UACGUAGGGUGCAAGCGUUGUCCGGAAUUAUUGGGCGUAAAGAGCUCGUAGGCGGCCAACUAAGUCGGAUGUGAAAUCCCCAGGCUUAACCUGGGAACUGCAUCCGAUACUGGAUGGCUUGAAUCCGGGAGAGGGAUGCAGAAUUCCAGGUGUAGCGGUGAAAUGCGUAGAUAUCUGGAGGAAUACCGGUGGCGAAGGCGGCAUCCUGGACCGGCAUUGACGCUGAGUGAGCGAAAGCCAGGGGAGCAAACGGG
rnacentral:rRNA from 1 species